GACGAACGCUGGCGGCGUGCUUAACACAUGCAAGUCGAACGGAAAGGCCCUGCUUUUGUGGGGUGCUCGAGUGGCGAACGGGUGAGUAACACGUGAGUAACCUGCCCUUGACUUUGGGAUAACUUCAGGAAACUGGGGCUAAUACCGGCUAGGAGCUCCUGCUGCAUGGUGGGGGUUGGAAAGUUUCGGCGGUUGGGGAUGGACUCGCGGCUUAUCAGCUUGUUGGUGGGGUAGUGGCUUACCAAGGCUUUGACGGGUAGCCGGCCUGAGAGGGUGACCGGCCACAUUGGGACUGAGAUACGGCCCAGACUCCUACGGGAGGCAGCAGUGGGAAAUAUUGCACAAUGGGCGUAAGCCUGAUGCAGCAACGCCGCGUGCGGGAUGACGGCCUUCGGGUUGUAAACCGCUUUCGCCUGUGACGAAGCGUGAGUGACGGUAAUGGGUAAAGAAGCACCGGCUAACUACGUG
rnacentral:rRNA from 1 species